rnacentral:rRNA from 1 species
CGGGUGAGUAACGCGUGGGUAACCUGCCCUAUACACACGGAUAACAUACCGAAAGGUAUGCUAAUACGAGAUAAUAUAAGAAAUUCACAUGUUUUUCUUAUCAAAGCUGAGGCGGUAUAGGAUGGACCCGCGUCUGAUUAGCUAGUUGGUAAGGUAAUGGCUUACCAAGGCGACGAUCAGUAGCCGACCUGAGAGGGUGAUCGGCCACAUUGGAACUGAGACACGGUCCAA